AAAAAUAUUUAUCAGUUUUUUAUUAAAAAUAAAAGUUUAAAAAAAAAAACCCCUAAAUCUAAGACUCACUCAGUCUCACUCGUCUCUGUCUCUCAUUCUCAUCCUCUCUCGCAACUGAGGUGCACAUUUUUUCUAAGGGGAUGGGCCCCGCGGGGACCCGCUCUUAAUGGGACAGAGAUUCCCCAUCUAAAUGGGAAACUGAGCGAGGACGUGGAUUAUUUUUUGUCCCCGAAUGUUAAACGGAGCGGGGACGGGGAUUACACUCCCCGCCCCGACAGGGACUCGUUUAGCAUUGUAUUUUAUAUUUCUAGUAUUAUUUUAUAAUUUAUAAUUUAUGUUUGUCUUUUUUUAGUAUGUUAGUAUUCUUUUUAUAAAUUUUAAGUUGUGUUUUGAAUAAUAAUUAAUUUAUUGAAUAAUAAUUAAUGUGUAAUAUUUUAAUUUU